AGCUAGAAAGCAGGAAAGAAAGAUAUAAUCAGCAUAACAAAGUGAAAAGAAUUUCAGGAUAUUUUCUGUUUAAAUCCCCACAACACUGUAUUACUUGUCAUUUACUGUGUAAACAACAUCACAUGCAUCAUUUUUAUCAUUACACAUACAGAACUGAAAAUCUGUUCUAUUUGAUCUGUUUUUUACUCAAUAACUUGUGUUAAAGUACUUCUAACAACAAACAGAGAAGUUAAAAAAAAGCAUUACCUCGAGUAUUCAGCAGGAACAAUGAUGUUUCCUCGUGUGUCGGAGUUGAAUAAAUGAUCUGCAGAGUGCCAUUCUAAUAAAGGUUGCCUCGCCCUAAAGAAAAUCCAGCCCACAAAAUACAUCAUUCAUGGAACGUUUUUCCUCUCCGGAAUGUUUUUUUUUUAUUUUUUUUAAUGUUACUUGUUUCAGAAUGUUUAGUGAACAUAAUACUUUACCAUAAUGUUUGCAAAAUGAUAACAUAGUACAUCCCAUAAAUGCUUGAAUAACCAAGAAAAAUAAAUUCAGAAAUAACAUUUUCAUAACUUAAUGGGAACGUUAGCAAAACGUUCUUAGAGCAUAUUUUUGUUAGCUGGGAAGGAGUGUUCAUGUAUACAUGCACACAAAAACAAAGCAGUUAAUUUUGAAAAACAAAAAUAAAAUGAUGGCAAAUGAAGUAAUGCAUUGGGGGUUCUCAGUUAAAUAAAUCAUUCAACAUUUUCAGUAAUGUUCUAUAUUCUUACUUGAUACAAUUUGAUAAGCGGGUUAAGCUGUGUUGCCAUCAUGUCAUUUCCCAUGAUGCUUGGGGAAGAGCAAGUUGGACCGCAUUUUUAACCAGCUUGCACCCUUUUUUGGAUAGUAGCAUCUGACAAAUAACAGCUUGCUUUUUACUUUCUUAAAUAUAACUGUGAGCAUGCACAUGGUAUUUAGUAUUGCCUAAAUGCAAUUGUACCAAUGCAAAGUGACCUGUGAAGUGACUUACCUGUUUUAAAAUAAAGGUUAACUAAGUCAGAAUUGUGAGUAACCUGGUAGUGACUGUAUGAGGUUUGUGAACACAUGCCAAAUAUAAUGUUUUAAACUGAAACCAAGAUAAGUAUCUCUGUAUUCAGAGAACAAGUUCUGAGAAGCGUCUCGCUGGACAUCCAACCCGGCCCAAAUCCAAGUGUUAGCUGGAUUUCUGGUGAAGUGGUUUGGGGUAAAAUCCUGCUUCUUCAUUACCAUUGAACAUUGAGAUGUCAUAAAGGAGAUUCAACGCAACUUCCACUCCAAGGUCCAGAAAGAGUCUCCCCUCCUCAUUCGGUCCAGAUCACCAUCUAAACUAGCAGGAAGAGUCUCAUGCAUCAGGACUCGCUCAUGGAGAGCAGAAGCGUCCGUAAAACAAAAUGCUCUUGGUUGGAUUGUGUCGGAUGAAGA